UUUAUAUCAUCUGUCUUUUGAUGAUUAUAGAUGUUUAAAUGAAAGAACAUGAAUGAUGUAAAAGAAUUUAUAUUUGAAUGCAAAAAGUUAUAUUUUGAGAUAUCAUGUGAUAUAAAAGAGAAGAAAUGAUGCUAUAGAAAAGAAUGUAAAUGGAUAAGUUGUAUGCAUGUAUGUGAUUAAAAGUUGAUCAUUGUACUUGUAUAUUGUUAGUUUAGU
rnacentral:lncRNA from 1 species